GACUGCGUUGGUCUAGAGGAAACUGUUCCCCUUGCAGAGUUUCGGCACUGCACACGAGAGGCUGUGGGUUCGAAUCCCACCGCGGUCC